GAUACGGGACUCAUCCGAGGCCCCGUAAUCGGAAUGAGCACACUUUAAAUCCUUUAACGAGUAUCCAUUGGAGGGCAAGUCUGGUGCCAGCAGCCGCGGUAAUUCCAGCUCCAAUAGCGUAUAUUAAAGUUGUUGCGGUUAAAAAGCUCGUAGUUGGACUUGUGUCCCACGCUGUCGGUUCACCGCCCGUCGGUGUCUAACUGGCAUGGUUCGUGGGACGUCCUGCCGGUGGUGGCGAGUCGAAGGAGCGCGCCCGUCGUGGUUCACGCCGCGAUCGAGGUUGCGGUCCGGAGACGGACCCCGAUGAAAUCCUACCGCGGUGCUCUUCACCGAGUGUCGAGGUGGGCCGGCACGUUUACUUUGAACAAAUUAGAGUGCUUAAAGCAGGCCUGUUGCGCCUGAAUACUGUGUGCAUGGAAUAAUGGAAUAGGACCUCGGUUCUAUUUUGUUGGUUUUCGGAACCCGAGGUAAUGAUUAAUAGGGACAGUCGGGGGCAUUCGUAUUGCGACGUUAGAGGUGAAAUUCUUGGAUCGUCGCAAGACGGACCGAAGCGAAAGCAUUUGCCAAGUAUGUUUUCAUUAAUCAAGAACGAAAGUUAGAGGUUCGAAGGCGAUCAGAUACCGCCCUAGUUCUAACCAUAAACGAUGCCAGCUAGCGAUCCGCCGAAGUUCCUCCGAUGACUCGGCGGGCAGCUCCCGGGAAACCAAAGCUUUUGGGUUCCGGGGGAAGUAUGGUUGCAAAGCUGAAACUUAAAGGAAUUGACGGAAGGGCACCACCAGGAGUGGAGCCUGCGGCUUAAUUUGACUCAACACGGGAAACCUCACCAGGCCCGGACAC
rnacentral:rRNA from 1 species